UCCGGUUCUUCACCAGCAGUCUCCUUAGAGUCCCCACCAUUACGUGUUGGCAACUAAGGAUAAGGGUUGCGCUCGUUACGGGACUUAACCCAACAUCUCACAACACGAGCUGACGACAGCCAUGCAGCACCUGUCUCUAAAUUCCUUUCGGCACUCCGGCAUCUCUGCCAGAUUCUUAGGAUGUCAAGGGUAGGUAAGGUUCUUCGCGUUGCAUCGAAUUAAACCACAUCAUCCACCGCUUGUGCGGGUCCCCGUCAAUUCCUUUGAGUUUUAGCCUUGCGGCCGUACUCCCCAGGCGGGGCACUUAAUGCGUUAGCUACGGCACGGAACCCGUUGAUAAGGUCCCACACCUAGUGCCCAACGUUUACGGCGUGGACUAC
rnacentral:misc_RNA from 1 species